GUGGGAAGGAAGGGAGCGGAAAGGCCGAGCGCCACCCGCCCCGGGAGUCUCCAGAGCAGCGCGCGGGGCAGACCUCCUCGGGUCCUCCGGCGCUUCGGUCUCCGGAGACGCCCGGCCUCCUGAAGGGUUCGGCUUGUCCUCCUCUGGCGCUCAGCUCCCUCUGGCGGCCGGGCUGGCAGGACCUCAGCGCCCAGCCCUUCCGUCUUGUUACGUCCAGGGUCUCACUCUGUGUCUCAGGCUGGAGUACAGUGGUGCAAUUGUAGAUGGCUGCAGCCCUCGACCUCCUGGGCUCAAGUGAUCCUCCUGCCUUAGCCUCUCGAGUAGCUGGGAGUACAGAUGCACACCACCACACCCAGCCUAGAAUGAAGAAACCUGCAGUUGGGAAGCAUGAAUUUACCACCUAUUAAGGCACUGGUUUACUGAGACAAUUCAAAACACACAUUCAUUUUGUGUGCUUAUGAAAUAUAUCCCAAGCUGUAUCUUUUUUAUAACAG
rnacentral:lncRNA from 1 species